rnacentral:rRNA from 1 species
GACAUGGCAGGAACUUACCAGAGAUGGUUUGGUGCUCGAAAGAGAACCUGCACACAGGUGCUGCAUGGCUGUCGUCAGCUCGUGUCGUGAGAUGUUGGGUUAAGUCCCGCAACGAGCGCAACCCUUGCCAUUAGUUGCUACGAAAGGGCACUCUAAUGGGACUGCCGGUGACAAACCGGAGGAAGGUGGGGAUGACGUCAAGUCCUCAUGGCCCUUAUAGGUGGGGCUACACACGUCAUACAAUGGCUGGUACAAAGGGUUGCCAACCCGCGAGGGGGAGCCAAUCCCAUAAAACCAGUCGUAGUCCGGAUCGCAGUCUGCAACUCGACUGCGUGAAGUCGGAAUCGCUAGUAAUCGUGGAUCAGCAUGUCACGGUGAAUACGUUCCCGGGUCUUGUACACACCGCCCGUCACACCAUGGGAGCGGGUCUCGCCAGAAGUAGGUAGCCUAACCGCAAGGAGGGCGCUUACCACGGCGGGGUUCGUGACUGGGGUGAAGUCGUAACAAGGUAGGCGUAGUGCU